GACGAACGCUGGCGGCGUGCCUAAUACAUGCAAGUAGAACGCUGAAGGAGGAGCUUGCUUCUCCGGAUGAGUUGCGAACGGGUGAGUAACGCGUAGGUAACCUGCCUGGUAGCGGGGGAUAACUAUUGGAAACGAUAGCUAAUACCGCAUAAUAGCAGUUAUUGCAUGAUAACUGUUUGAAAGGUGCAAUUGCACCACUACCAGAUGGACCUGCGUUGUAUUAGCUAGUUGGUGGGGUAACGGCUCACCAAGGCGACGAUACAUAGCCGACCUGAGAGGGUGAUCGGCCACACUGGGACUGAGACACGGCCCAGACUCCUACGGGAGGCAGCAGUAGGGAAUCUUCGGCAAUGGACGGAAGUCUGACCGAGCAACGCCGCGUGAGUGAAGAAGGUUUUCGGAUCGUAAAGCUCUGUUGUAAGAGAAGAACGAGUGUGAGAGUGGAAAGUUUCAC
rnacentral:rRNA from 1 species